GAUGAACGCUGGCGGCGUGCUUAACACAUGCAAGUCGAACGGGAACUAGGAAGUGCUUGCUCUCUUUGGUGAGAGUGGCGAACGGGUGAGUAACACGUGAGUAACCUGUCCUUUUCUUUGGGAUAAACCCCUGAAAGGGUGUUUAAUACCUUAUGUUCUGUCUGCCUCGCAUGGGGUGGGUGGGUAAGAUUUUUUCGGUGAAGGGGGGGCUCGCGGUCUAUCAGCUUGUUGGUGGGGUGAUGGCUUAGCAAGGCUUUGACGGGUAGCCGGCCUGAGAGGGGAGUGUGUCAGAGUGGGGCUGCGAUCCCGGACAGACUGCUGCGGGAGGCAGUAGUGGGGGAUAUUGCACAAUGGGCGCAAGCCAGAUGGAGCGAGGCCGCGUGGGGGAUGAAGGCCUUCGGGCUGUAAACCUGUUCUAAUCUGAACAAGGCGAACCAUGGGGUGUGUUGAGUGAACGGGUUGAUUAGCGCCGGCUAACUACGUG
rnacentral:rRNA from 1 species